rnacentral:rRNA from 1 species
CCUACGGGAGGCAGCAGUGAGGAAUAUUGGUCAAUGGGCUUACGCCUGAACCAGCCAAGUCGCGUGAGGGAAGACUGCCCUAUGGGUUGUAAACCUCUUUUGUCAGGGAGCAACGCCGGCUACGUGUAGCCGGACUGAGAGUACCUGAAGAAAAAGCAUCGGCUAACUCCGUGCCAGCAGCCGCGGUAAUACGGAGGAUGCGAGCGUUAUCCGGAUUUAUUGGGUUUAAAGGGUGCGUAGGCGGGACUGCAAGUUGGGUGUCAAAUCUACCGGCUCAACCGGUAGCCGCACUCAAAACUGCAGUUCUUGAGUGAAGUAGAGGCAGGCAGAAUUCCUAGUGUAGCGGUGAAAUGCGUAGAUAUUAGGAGGAACACCAGUGGCGAAGGCGGCCUGCUGGGCUUUUACUGACGCUGAGGCUCGAAAGUGUGGGGAGCAAACAGGAUUAGAUACCCCAGUAGUC